rnacentral:lncRNA from 10 species
AUAGACUGGAAAACUCUUAUUCCCAAGAAGUUAUUUUGACUUUUAAGCAGGGAAUCCUGUAAAAGGUAGACUAUUAUAAACUCUCCUCAAGCAAAAUAUUUGCUUUAUGUAAAUAGACUUCUCAAGGUAAUAAAUAAUUAAGGAACCUCAAAAUAAAAUAAUGUAUGAAGCUCUGAAUCCCUAACCAAAAAGAUUUCCAAAGAUUUACCUUUGGAAAUAAUCCAUCUCUAAGGAGAAAUACUGAAAACAUACCAACUGCCCUAAGUUCCAAAAUCAUAAGCAACAAUUAAGAGCAAUAAUUAAAAUGGAGAGUCCUGUGUUGAGGAAUUGCAAAGACCUGGGUACUAAUUCUUUUCUCCCAGGCAAGUUACUUAACCUCCCAGAGUUUAGAUGUUCAUCUGCAAAACAGGAAUAACAGCACCUGCUCUGCCAGCUUGCACAGCAGUUGUGAGGAUCAAAUGCAGAGGCGGCAAUAAAAGGGCAGCACCACCUGUACCUCCGAGACAAUCCAGGUAUACAAGGUACAAUGAGGUCUGGCCCCAGGGCUGACCUCAGACUGUGCCUUAACACUCUGUGUCUUACUGCAUCAUUUCUGGAAGGUUAUUUCAGAAGGUGGUAAUUACAGAGAGUAAAUUAGGGCUAAAGCAGGAUGAGAACUUGCUUGGAUGUUCUGUUGAGGAAAGAGAGGUGGAAGGAGCAAAGGGCUCAGCACCCAAAACUCUGGGAAUCACUCAACUUUAGAGAAAGAAAGCAAAAGCACUUUUAAAAUGAGUUAAGUGGAAGACGAACAGACAAAUGAGGUAACUUCUAUAAAGAUGGAGGUUGCUUCUGGCUCAUCAGCCAUCGUUGAUGUGCCACAGACCUGAGGGCACGUGACCCAGGAAUGUGCAUCCAAAGAUAAUACUACCUUCAGAGAACUCUACUUAUAGUGGUGAAAUUGAAUCACUGAAGCAGCUGAGGCAGAGAGCUUUUCCUUCAGGAUUCACGGCCUAUUUCUCAGUUCUGGGAAGACAACUCUAACAACUCAACAGAGUGAAGAGAGAUAAAGAUGUUGGGAAUGACUGAUUUCAAACAAUCAAAACUGCUUUGGGGAUGAGGAUGAAGUUGGGACAUUACUGCCUUGUAUACCACAUACUAUAAUAUUUAUUAUGUCUAUUGUUUAUUGUGUGUGUCCUUCUUUAGAAUUUUAACUCCCCAAGGGCAAAGAUCCCUGACUGUUUUGCUUAUCAAUGUAUCCAAAAGGCCUAAAACAGAGCCUUGUACCCUAUACACACUCUGCAAAUAUUUGCUGAAUUGAAUAAAAGGCUGCCGAUCUAUAAACUAUGCUGCUUUCAAAUAAAACUAAGACAAGGACAUUGAUAGCAUAUCCUCAUCCCCUGUCUGGCCCCUUGGAUUUGAUUUGAGCCUCUGUGAUUAGAAUGAUGAAGUCUGUUGGGGCUGUUUUCAGGAGAGGUUGUGAGACUCUAGGCACCAGAAGAGCUGCCCUGGGACACAGAGAGGAAAAAGUAAUAAAUAAUGGAGAAGAAAAAAAAAAAAACCAUGGGAAACAAACAAACUCAAACUAGAAAUGAAAUAAGCUAUGGCUUCUGUAAUCCUCCUGCACAUAACAACUAUGGGUUUUGGACAAAAUACAAAAAGCAGCUAUCCAGAGGCACUGAAGAGAAGCCAAGCAGGCAGACAAUGGAGGGGAAUCUGCAUAUGGAAGAAGGAGAUGACAGUGGGAAAGUUCCCAUUAUUACAGCUCUUUGCUGGAAAGCCGGUCCCAAUCCAUGCCAAAUAAAGGUUACUAAAACAUGAAUAGAAAAUCUGUAGUCUUACUGGCAUGAAGAGCCAGGAGACAGGGUUCAUGGUGAUUAUAGCAACCAGAAAGUGAGAAGGGGGAAAUCUUGGAAAAAUGAGAGCCAAAGAGGGGGAAGUAACAUGUUCUAUGUAUAAACUCUGCACAAGUCAUUGGCUGACUCAUGAACCAUGUGUGCAAAUAGCCCAGCUAAGGCUAGAAGAACCAAACAGAGAUUUCUGUUGCUGUGCACUGGAGACAGUUUACAGUUUGAAGUAGUUAAAUUAGCUGCCUGCUUAAAACAAAUCAUCACUCUUCAGAGGAAUAUAACAGAACCCAGAGGCUCUGCAACAUAUCAUUCACAGUUUUCUGGAUAAUAUCUAAAAUACUAGGCAUAUGAAGAAAAAAAGAAAAUGUAAGCCAAAAACAAUCAAUGCAGACUGACACUCAGAUAAAUAAUUAGCAGACAAAAAUUUUAAAUCAGCUAUUUUAACUAUGCUCAUGAAUGUAAAGGAAAAUAGGUUUGUAAAGAAUUAACAAAUACAAAAUCUCAGAGAACUAGAAACUAUUAAAAUGAUCAAAUAAAAAUUCUAAGACCAAAAACUGUAAUAAAAUAUUUGAAAUAAAUGUUGCCAUAUGGGCCUGACAGUAAAUGGAAAUGACUGAAGAAAAACCGAGAGAAUUUGAAGACAGAUCAAUAUAACUAAUUCUAUCUAAAGAAUAUAGAGGAAAAAUACUGGGAAAAAUGAGCAGAGCUUCAGGGACUUGUGGGACAAUACUGAAAGAUCUAGCAUACAUAUAACUAAGUUUCAGAAAGAAAAGAGACAGAGAAUGGAAUAGAAAAAAUAUUGAGGAAGAUGUAAUAUACAUGAUAAAUGUAUAUUAGCAGAAGUGAGUCUACUUUAAAAUGUAAUUUUAGAUUUCAGAUAUAUAUGUGGUAGAAAUAAAAAAUUCAAAGAUAAUUGAUAUAGAAGAUAAUAACAAGGAUAUCCAAAUUGUGUGAAAAAUGUUCUGGAGAUCGAACAAAUAGCAAAAGUACAAAAAGAUCAAAUCACACCAGAGUAACACUCUUCAGAACUGAAAAAAAGUAAUAUCAUAAACCAAGAAAUAUCCUUAGACACUUAUAACUGAG